rnacentral:rRNA from 1 species
UACGUAGGGGGCAAGCGUUGUCCGGAUUUAUUGGGCGUAAAGAGCGUGUAGGCGGCCAGACAGGUCAGCUGUGAAAACUCGAGGCUCAACCUCGAGACGUCGGUUGAAACCGUCUGGCUAGAGUCCGGAAGAGGAGAGUGGAAUUCCCGGUGUAGCGGUGAAAUGCGCAGAUAUCGGGAAGAACACCCGUGGCGAAGGCGGCUCUCUGGGACGGUACUGACGCUGAGACGCGAAGGCGUGGGGAGCGAACAGG